CGGGCUCCGGUUCACGUUCGCGCGUCCGCGCGGGCGACCCGGCGGCU
rfam:Actinobacteria bacterium 69-20 SCNpilot_cont_1000_bf_scaffold_125, whole genome shotgun sequence.